UGUAGCUUGAUAUUGGAUGUUGGUACAGUUUGUACAGGAUAGGUAGGAGCCAGAGAAGUCGGAGCGCCAGCUUCGAUGGAGGCGUCGGUGGGAUACUACCCUGACUGUGCUGACAUUCUAACCUCGAGCCGUGAUCCGGUUCAGGGACAGUGUCAGGUGGGCAGUUUGACUGGGGCGGUCGCCUCCUAAACAGUAACGGAGGCGCCCAAAGGUUCCCUCAGAAUGGUUGGAAAUCAUUCG
rnacentral:rRNA from 1 species